CAGUCGAACGCUGACGGUUUGGUGUUUAGACUAUACUGAGGAGAGGCGAGCGGGUGAGAAACGCGUAGGGAACCUGGCUCGUAGGGGGGGAAUACUAUUGGAAACGAUAGCUUAUACCGGAUAAAAGUAAUUAGACCAUGUAAGGGAUUCUUCGGGAGCUCUUGCUUCACUGUGAGAUGGAUGUGCUUUGUAUUAGCUAGUUGGAGAGGCUCAGGCUCGCCACGGUGACUAUACAUAGCCGAACUGAGAGGGUGAUCGCUGACACUGAGACUGAGACCCGACCCCUACUCCUACGGGAGGCGGGAAAAAGGAAUCUUCGGGAAUGGACGGAAGGCUGACCGAGCAAGGGCGCGAGAGUGAAGAAGGGUUUCGGAUCGUAAAGCUCUGUUGAUAAAGAAAAACGUGGGUAGGAGUGGAAUCUCUACCAAGUGACGGUAACUAACCAGAAAGGAACGGCUAGCUACGUGCCAGGAGCCGCGGUAAUACGUAAGUCCCGAGCGUAGUCCGGAUUUAUUGGGCGCACAGCGAGCGCAUGUGGUUCUUUAAGUCUGAAGUUCGAGGUCGUGCUUUAACCUUUGUACGAUUUGGAAACUGUAGAACUUGAGAGAAGAAGGGGAGAGUGCAAUUGCAUGUGUAACGUGCAAAUACAUAUAUAUAUGUAGGAACGCCGAUGGCGACCG
rnacentral:rRNA from 1 species